rnacentral:tRNA from 1 species
GGCUCCCGCGGCCAGGUUCGCGCCGGCGCUGCAACCGCCGAGCGCCAGGCGCCCGGGGUCGGUGCCGAGUUCGGCGGUGGCGUCC